rnacentral:rRNA from 1 species
CAGUCGCCGCGGGAAUACGAAGGGUGCAAGCGUUACUCGGAAUUACUGGGCGUAAAGCGUGCGUAGGUGGUGGUUUAAGUCCGUUGUGAAAGCCCUGGGCUCAACCUGGGAAUUGCAGUGGAUACUGGGUCACUAGAGUGUGGUAGAGGAUAGUGGAAUUUCUGGUGUAGCAGUGAAAUGCGUAGAGAUCGGAAGGAACAUCUGUGGCGAAGGCGACUAUCUGGGCCAACACUGACACUGAGGCACGAAAGCGUGGGGAGCAAACAGGAUUAGAUACCCGUGUAGUCCCUGUCUCUUAUAC